CAGCGCGCUGUGAGAGCCGCCAGCACUCCACAGCCUGCUCAACAGGUUUUUUCCAGUUUGAGGCAGGUGCAUCACGAUAUGUUGGAUGAAUAAGUGGGCAGUGAGGGAGAAGGAAGUGCAUGUUCUUGUGUUCCAGUCAUGGAACACUGACCCCUGGAAACCAGUGGUACUACCAGCAUUAAGGGAGUGGAGAAAGGAGAAUCCUUGAAAGAGUAAAUAUUGGAUCAUGGUAUACCAAAGCAAUGUUGUGACUUGGCUCUGGUCAUUUUUUUGUAUACCUAAGUUGAUGUUAGCCAUGGAGAACUGCAUUCAGCUGUAUUGUUUGUCCCUAGCUACCUAGCCUGUGACCCCUGCAGGUAUAGAUGUUCUACUGUUUGAGGAAUGUAGAGGAAUGUCAUAUACCUUUGGGGGACUGUUUAAUGUUUUUGUGUGACUUACGUGCACCCUGGGAGUCUUGGCUGCCAGCUGUCAAUAGUGAUUUGUAACCAAACAACUGAUCAGAAGGAUCAGAGUCCUAAAAUGAGGAAUGUCAUGGCCUGAUGUAAGCCCUUGCAUGGGGGGAAGCUGUCUAGGCAAGGCAAACUCAGUGCCAAC